rnacentral:rRNA from 1 species
AUUGAACGCUGGCGGCAGGCCUAACACAUGCAAGUCGAACGAGUGGCGGACGGGUGAGUAAUGUCUGGGAAUCUGCCCGAUGGAGGGGGAUAUCUACUGGAAACGGUAGCUAAUACCGCAUACCAUCGGAUGUGCCCAGAUGGGAUUCGCGAGUAGGUGGGGUAGCGGCUCACCUAGGCGACGAUCCCUAGCUGGUCUGAGAGUAUGACCAGCAACACUGGAACUGAGACACGGUCCAGACUCCUACGGGAGGCAGCAGUGGGGAAUAUUGCACAAUGGGCGCAAGCCUGAUGCAGCCAUGCCGCGUGUAUGAAGAAGGCCUUCGGGUUGUAAGGUACUUUCAGCGAGGAGGCGUUACUCGCAGAAGAAGCACCGGCUAACUCCGUGCCAGCAGCCGCGGUAAUAC